UGGGGAAUAUUGCACAAUGGGCGAAAGCCUGAUGCAGCAACGCCGCGUGAGUGAUGAAGGCCUUCGGGUUGUAAAGCUCUGUCUUUUGGGACGAUAAUGACGGUACCAAAGGAGGAAGCCACGGCUAACUACGUGCCAGCAGCCGCGGUAAUACGUAGGUGGCAAGCGUUGUCCGGAUUUACUGGGCGUAAAGGAUGCGUAGGCGGAUUUUUAAGUGAGAUGUGAAAACCCUAAGCUUAACUUGGGGACUGCAUUUCAUACUGGAAAUCUAGAGUGCGGGAGAGGAGAAUGGAAUUCCUAGUGUAGCGGUGAAAUGCGUAGAGAUUAGGAAGAACACCAGUGGCGAAGGCGAUUCUCUGGACCGUAACUGACGCUGAGGCAUGAAAGCGUGGGUAGCAAACAGGAUUAGAUACCCUGGUAGUCCACGCCGUAAACGAUGAGUACUAGGUGUAGGAGGUAUCGA
rnacentral:rRNA from 1 species